rfam:Triticum aestivum genome assembly, contig: Triticum_aestivum_CS42_TGACv1_scaffold_404347_5BL
UAAAUACUCCCUCCGCCGAAAAUACUUGUCAUCAAAAUGGAUAAAAAGAAAUGUAUCUAAAACUAAAAUAUGUCUAGAUACAUUCCUUUUAUCCAUUUUGAUGACAAGUAUUUCCGGACGGAGGGAGUAUUUG